GGCCCGUUAGCUCAGUUGGUUAGAGCGCUGCACUUUUACUCAGAGGUCGUAGGUUCGAGUCCUACAUGGGCCC